rnacentral:tRNA from 1 species
UCCCCGGUGGUCCAGUGGCUAAGACACUGCACUUCCAACACAGGGGGACUGGGUUCAAUCCCUGGUUAGGGAA